AAAGCAUUAAUUUACAGAUGGCACUUCAUUCCUUGCGGUACACCUUUCAAAAGACCUCUUCAUCAAGUAGGUAAGAA
ensembl:misc_RNA